GUUGUAUGGUUAAGUGACUAAGCGUACACGGUGGAUGCCUUGGCAGUUGGAGGCGAUGAAGGACGUAC
rnacentral:rRNA from 1 species